rnacentral:tRNA from 1 species
GGAGGAUUACUCAAGUGGUCGAAGAGGCUCCCCUGCUAAGGGAGUAGGUCGGGAUAACCGGCGCGAGAGUUCGAAUCUCUUGUCCUCCGCCA